UACGGGAGGGCAGCAGGUGGGGAAUAUUGCACAAUGGGCGCAAGCCUGAUGCAGCCAUGCCGCGUGUAUGAAGAAGGCCUUCGGGUUGUAAAGUACUUUCAGUCGUGAGGAAGGUGUUAAGGUUAAUAACCUUAGCAAUUGACGUUAGCGACAGAAGAAGCACCGGCUAACUCCGUGCCAGCAGCCGCGGUAAUACGGAGGGUGCGAGCGUUAAUCGGAAUUACUGGGCGUAAAGGGCACGCAGGCGGUUAAUUAAGUUGGAUGUGAAAUCCCCGGGCUUAACCUGGGAAUGGCAUUCAAGACUGGUUAGCUAGAGUCUUGUAGAGGGGGUAGAAUUCCGAUGUGUAGCGGUGAAAUGCGUAGAGAUGUGGAGGAAUACCGGUGGCGAAGGCGGCCCCCUGGGACCAAAGGGACCUGGACGCUCGAUGUGCGAAAGCGUGGGGAGCAAAC
rnacentral:rRNA from 1 species